UACGUAGGGGGCUAGCGUUGUCCGGAAUCAUUGGGCGUAAAGCGCGUGUAGGCGGUCCGGUAAGUCCGCUGUGAAAGUCGGGGGGCUCAACCCUCGGAUGCCGGUGGAUACUGUCGGGCUUGAGUACGGAAGGGGCGAGUGGAAUUCCUGGUGUAGCGGUGAAAUGCGCAGAUAUCAGGAGGAACACCAAUUGCGAAGGCAGCUCGCUGGGACGUUACUGACGCUGAGACGCGAAAGCGUGGGGAGCAAACAGG
rnacentral:rRNA from 1 species